AGCAGCCAGGGAAUUGAAACAGCAAGAGAAAAUAGGUUUUCUGUGUGUGUAAGGUUUUAUCAAAAACCUGGUUAGAAGGGCCUGGCUGCUUGGAGCAGGGAGGUGGACUAUAAAAGGGCAGACAGCUCACUAGCUGAUGUCUCUGCUCCUGGGAAAAGCUCUGAUCUCGGACCUUCAUCCUACAGCAGACUCAGGUUAUAACGCCUUGUGAGCAAAAGCACGGAGAAACAUCUUGGCCAUUUAGCAGAAGAGUUUGUCAGAUUCCUCUUAGUCGUCGCCGGUUUUCUGUUAAUGAGUUGGUUCACGGUGAGCACCGCUUACGGAGUUUUACAUGUAUGCAUUCGACUUUCUUCAGCCUCACAGCUGGACACGAGA